rnacentral:rRNA from 1 species
UACGGAGGGAGCUAGCGUUGUUCGGAAUUACUGGGCGUAAAGCGCACGUAGGCGGCUUUGUAAGUUAGAGGUGAAGGCCCGGAGCUCAACUCCGGAAUUGCCUUUAAGACUGCAUCGCUUGAAUCCAGGAGAGGUGAGUGGAAUUCCGAGUGUAGAGGUGAAAUUCGUAGAUAUUCGGAAGAACACCAGUGGCGAAGGCGGCUCACUGGACUGGUAUUGACGCUGAGGUGCGAAAGCGUGGGGAGCAAACAGG